rnacentral:rRNA from 1 species
CAGUAGCCGCGGUAAUACGAAGGGGGCUAGCGUUGUUCGGAUUUACUGGGCGUAAAGCGCACGUAGGCGGAUCCUUAAGUCAGAGGUGAAAUCCCAAGGCUCAACCUUGGAACUGCCUUUGAUACUGGGGAUCUCGAGUUCGGGAGAGGUGAGUGGAACUGCGAGUGUAGAGGUGAAAUUCGUAGAUAUUCGCAAGAACACCAGUGGCGAAGGCGGCUCACUGGCCCGAUACUGACGCUGAGGUGCGAAAGCGUGGGGAGCAAACAGGAUUAGAUACCCCAGUAGUCCCUGUCUCUUAUAC